CGCCACUCUGAGACUGAGCUGAAUUUGUAUUCCCGUUGCUCUUGUGUGAUUAGGGUGUCAGUGAUCCUUCAACCCACUUCUUCUUUUGUGUUUCCAGUGGCUCCAUUACAGUCAGAUGGUGGCCCCUGGAGCAAUGCAGGACGUACACAGAAGGGACUGGGUUGGAUUUGGAUUGCCUUAAGACUGUUCUUCACAUGAGAGUAGACAAGGAUAAAACUUGUAGGAACCAGAUGGAUCCUCCAAACCACGAGGGGGCAGCAUUUCAAGCUGACAUGAACUGGAGAGCUCUCUCAACGUAUCGUGGACAUCUCGGAAGCUUCUAGACUGCAGGAACUGUGACUUCAAGCUGAGGUGAAACCGCAGAAAACGCUGGCCCACAAGAACCCACAAGAACAGCGGAGAAGGAUCUAAAGAAUCAUAAAAGCAGCUCGUUCCAGCUCCUGUUCUACACAGUCCUACAUGUCUGAUGAUUGAGGUCCUUGAAAACAGAAGUGAAACUGGAGCUUUUUGGCUUCACGCAGUUAAAUCUUCCCCUGGAUGAUCUGCGUCUGCCUCGUGUCGUCUUUAUGUCAGAGCCGGAUGGCUGGAGCUUGACUAUCAAGGCAACAAUUCUGAGAUUAUGACAAAGGAAUAAUCAAAAUUUACUGGUAUUGUCAAGCCAAUUAUAGCUCUGCUUCCUGCCUCGAUGGGGAUUUCUGGAAUAUAAUUACAGAAACAACACAUAAACAAUAAUAAGUCAACCCCCUGGAAGGCUGCCCCUCCCCCGUCCGGCCCCUUUGUACAACACAAGAAUCCAAAUCUUUCAAAUGGAGAAA
rnacentral:lncRNA from 1 species